rnacentral:RNase_P_RNA from 1 species
GAAGCUGGCCAGACAGUCGCUGCCCGAGUGAUCGGGGAGAGGAAAGUCCGGGCUCCAUAGAGCGGGAUGACGGCUAACGGCCGUACGCCGUGAGGCGAGGAACAGGGCCACAGAGACGAGUAAAUCGCAGUUCGCUGCGAUGGAUGUGAAACGCGGUAACCUCCAUCCGGAGCAAGACCAAAUAGGCUGGCAUUUCACUUCGGUGAUAAGGCGUGGCUCGCGCUGCCAGCGGGUAGGUUGCUUGAGUGCAUGAGCAAUUGUGCGCCUAGAGGAAUGACUGUCGCUCGCAGUGAUGCGAGGCACAGAACCCGGCUUACCGGCCAGCUUCUUUC